rnacentral:lncRNA from 1 species
CGGUUGGCCAGGGAGUAAUGGAGCCGUGUGGAAUCCGUCGCAGGAAGUGGAGCAGAGUCGUGGCCAUUACUGCGGCCACGCCAGGGAGUGCAGGCCUGUUGGCCGAAGCUCGAUUGGAGUGUCUGACGGGGAGAGGUGGUUAGCUACCCAUUCUAGAGGAGCCCAGAGUCUGGCUCUCGUGGGAGUCUGGAUGGAGUCUUCCC